rnacentral:rRNA from 1 species
UACGAAGGGGGCUAGCGUUGUUCGGAAUUACUGGGCGUAAAGGGCGCGUAGGCGGUGUGUCAAGUCAGGCGUGAAAGCCCCGGGCUUAACCUGGGAACUGCGUUUGAUACGGGUGGGCUAGAGUUCGGGAGAGGAGAGUGGAAUUCCCAGUGUAGAGGUGAAAUUCGUAGAUAUUGGGAAGAACACCGGUGGCGAAGGCGGCUCUCUGGACCGAUACUGACGCUGAGGCGCGGAAGCGUGGGGAGCAAACAGG